GAUGAACGCUGGCGGCGUGCCUAAUACAUGCAAGUCGAGCGAACGGACGAGAAGCUUGCUUCUCUGAUGUUAGCGGCGGACGGGUGAGUAACACGUGGAUAACCUACCUAUAAGACUGGGAUAACUUCGGGAAACCGUAGCUAAUACCGGAUAAUAUUUUGAACCGCAUGGUUCAAAAGUGAAAGACGGUCUUGCUGUCACUUAUAGAUGGAUCCGCGCUGCAUUAGCUAGUUGGUAAGGUAACGGCUUACCAAGGCAACGAUGCAUAGCCGACCUGAGAGGGGGAUCGGCCACACUGGAACUGAGACACGGUCCAGAAUCCUAAGGGAGGCAGCAGUAGGGAAUCUUCCGGAAUGGGCGAAAGCCUGACGGAGCAACGCCGCGUGAGUGAUGAAGGUCUUCGGAUCGUAAAACUCUGUUAUUAGGGAAGAACAUAUGUGUAAGUAACUGUGCACAUCUUGACGGUACCUAAUCAGAAAGCCACGGCUAACUACGU
rnacentral:rRNA from 1 species